rnacentral:rRNA from 1 species
AACGAACGCUGGCGGCAGGCUUAACACAUGCAAGUCGAGCGCCCCGCAAGGGGAGCGGCAGACGGGUGAGUAACGCGUGGGAAUCUACCCAUCUCUACGGAAUAACGCAUGGAAACGUGUGCUAAUACCGUAUACGUCCUUCGGGAGAAAGAUUUAUCGGAGAUGGAUGAGCCUGCGUUGGAUUAGCUAGUUGGUGGGGUAAAGGCCUACCAAGGCGACGAUCCAUAGCUGGUCUGAGAGGAUGAUCAGCCACGCUGGGACUGAGACACGGCCCAGACUCCUACGGGAGGCAGCAGUGGGGAAUAUUGGACAAUGGGCGCAAGCCUGAUCCAGCCAUGCCGCGUGAGUGAUGAAGGCCCUAGGGUUGUAAAGCUCUUUCACCGGUGAAGAUAAUGACGGUAACCGGAGAAGAAGCCCCGGCUAACUUCGUGCCAGCCGCCGCCGUAAGAC